rnacentral:rRNA from 1 species
CGCCUGUUUAUCAAAAACAUCUCUUCUCGUUAGUUUUUGAAGUAUGGCCUGCCCACUGACCUUGAAUGUUGAAGGGCCGCGGUAUUUUGACCGUGCAAAGGUAGCAUAGUCAUUAGUUCUUUAAUUGUGAUCUGGUAUGAAUGGCUUGACGAGGCAUAAUCUGUCUUAAUUUUGAAUUGUUUAUUGAAUUUGGUCUUUGAGUUAAAAUUCUUAGAUGUUUUUAUGGGACGAGAAGACCCUAUAGAGUUUGACAUUUGUUAUGGUCUCUUUCUGUUUGUGAGGGUUCACUAGGGCUGUCUAAUAUGUUUUGUUGGGGUGAUGGGAGGGAUAUUAUUUAACCCCUCCUUUGUGUUGUUAUAUUUAUUUAUAUUUGCUUGAUCCAUUUAUUUUGAUUGUAAGAUUAAAUUACCUUAGGGAUAACAGCGUAA